rnacentral:rRNA from 1 species
AGUAAAUUGGUUAAGUUAGAAAGGGCGCACGGUGGAUGCCUUGGCACUAGGAGCCGAAGAAGGACGGGACUAACACCGAUAUGCUUUGGGGAGCUGUACGUAAGCGUUGAUCCAGAGAUUUCCGAAUGGGGGAACCCACUAUCUUUAGUCGGAUAGUAUCCUUACGUGAAUACAUAGCGUAAGGAAGGCAGACCCAGGGAACUGAAACAUCUAAGUACCUGGAGGAAGAGAAAGAAAAAUCGAUUUCCUGAGUAGCGGCGAGCGAAACGGAAAGAGCCCAAACCAAGAAGCUUGCUUCUUGGGGUUGUAGGACACUCUAUACGGAGUUACAAAAGAAAGUUAUAAAUGAAGCGGUCUGGAAAGGCCCGCCAAAGACGGUAACAGCCCGGUAGUUGAAAUGGCUUUCCCUCCAGAGUGGAUCCUGAGUACGGCGGAAC